AUACUGCCACCGUUCACUGUGGAGUUCUGAAAUUCUACACGUGAGAGAAUCUGCAGUAUCUACGUGUGAGGAGGGGGAAGCCAAGACUUCCCCACCUGGGUGGAAGUUUCAAGAUUGGCCUCAAAGAAUUGAGGGUAGAAGGGGAUCAUUGGCAAAGUGAAUUCCCACAUCCCAGGGCAGUCAUGUAUUAUGAAGUCCAAACUAUUGGUUAAUCAUAGUGGAGAAGACAGUCUAAGGAUGGAAGUGAAUAGCUGGCACGAUACAGUGAUGCCUCUGUUCCUGCACCUGACCACUGCCCCUGGUGAAACUGCAAGGCCAUAACAUGCUGUGAUUGGCGGGAGUUGCAGAUACGUAUGUGAAAGUUAUAUAUACAUACGGCUCAUUGCUCAGCAUUCUCAAGGCGGACUUCAGGGUUCUGGAAUUUUGCCUGCGGAGUUCCUGCUCUUAGACCAAAUGUUACCAUUUCCUCACCUGUCUCGAAGCUCACGCAUCAGAGUGAGUCCCUCUUCUGCCACCAUGUUUGGAUCACCGCUGAAGUAAGUGAUAUGAUGUCUUAACAGCUCUCUCUUAGGAAAUUAUUGAGGAGAAGUGACAACAGAGUGCAAUGUGGCAUCCUGGAUCGGAUUCUGGACCAGAAAAAGGACAAGAUUGGGAAAACUGGCAAUAUUUUAAUGAGGUCUGUAGUUUUGUUAAUAAUAUUAUAUCAGUGUUGAUUUCCUGGUUUCGAUAACUCUCUAUGAAUGAUCAUGUAAAAUGUUAACAUUAGGAGAAACCUGUGAAGUACACACAGAAUCUUCUGUGUUAUUUUUUCAGCUUCUCCGUAAUUCUAGAAUUACUUCAAAAUUUAAUGUUUUUCAAAAAUCACUUUUGGUUUAAGAAAAAAAAUUAUAAACACACAAAUGAUUAGGGUAGUUUUUUUAUUGAAUUACAGUUGACAAACAAGAUUAGAGUGGUUUCUAAUUAUGUUUUUAUUCAAGAGGGUAUGGAGCACUCCCUGUUGAGAAAUAUGAUGGCAUUAGCCCCUCCCUAGAAAUCCUUUCAUUUUCUCCUUGUAAACUUGCAAAUUUUUGUUAAUUAUUUUUCUGUUGUCAAGAUUUUAGAACAUUGACUUCCUCAUUACUGGAGCUGUUUCAUCUUGAUUAUGUAUUUAAAUAAUUCUGUGCUCACCACUGUCUGUUUCCUGAAUUCUUUACUUUGGUUUAUCUCUUUAUUGGCUGGAUUUCAUAAAUGAAUACUUCAAAGGAAAAAAAAAAACCACUGUCUCUUUGACUCUUAAUAUA